rnacentral:rRNA from 1 species
UACGUAGGGGGCAAGCGUUGUCCGGAUUUAUUGGGCGUAAAGAGCGUGUAGGCGGCCAAGCAGGUCCGCUGUGAAAACUCGAGGCUCAACCUCGAGACGUCGGUGGAAACCGUUUGGCUAGAGUCCGGAAGAGGAGGGUGGAAUUCCCGGUGUAGCGGUGAAAUGCGCAGAUAUCGGGAAGAACACCCGUGGCGAAGGCGGCUCUCUGGGACGGUACUGACGCUGAGACGCGAAAGCGUGGGGAGCGAACAGG